GCAAGUCGAGCGGAAACGAAGAGGUGCUUGCACCUCUGGCGUCGAGCGGCGGACGGGUGAGUAAUGCUUGGGAAUAUGCCUUAUGGUGGGGGACAACAGUUGGAAACGACUGCUAAUACCGCAUAAUGUCUACGGACCAAAGUGGGGGACCUUCGGGCCUCACGCCAUAAGAUUAGCCCAAGUGGGAUUAGCUAGUUGGUGAGGUAAUGGCUCACCAAGGCGACGAUCCCUAGCUGGUUUGAGAGGAUGAUCAGCCACACUGGGACUGAGACACGGCCCAGACUCCUACGGGAGGCAGCAGUGGGGAAUAUUGCACAAUGGGCGCAAGCCUGAUGCAGCCAUGCUGCGUGUGUGAAGAAGGCCUUCGGGUUGUAAAGCACUUUCAGUAAGGAGGAAAGGUUAAGUGUUAAUAGCACUUAGCUGUGACGUUACUUACAGAAGAAGCACCGGCUAACUCCGUGCCAGCAGCCGCGGUAAUACGGAGGGUGCGAGCGUUAAUCGGAAUUACUGGGCGUAAAGCGUACGCAGGCGGUUUGUUAAGCGAGAUGUGAAAGCCCCGGGCUCAACCUGGGAACUGCAUUUCGAACUGGCAAACUAGAGUGUGAUAGAGGGU
rnacentral:rRNA from 1 species